UACGGGGGGGGCAAGCGUUGUUCGGAAUUACUGGGCGUAAAGGGCUCGUAGGCGGCCAACUAAGUCAGACGUGAAAUCCCUCGGCUUAACCGGGGAACUGCGUCUGAUACUGGAUGGCUUGAGUUCGGGAGAGGGACGUGGAAUUCCAGGUGUAGCGGUGAAAUGCGUAGAUAUCUGGAGGAACACCGGUGGCGAAGGCGGCAUCCUGGACCGACACUGACGCUGAUGAGCGAAAGCCAGGGGAGCAAACGGG
rnacentral:rRNA from 1 species